AACGAACGCUGGCGGCAUGCCUAACACAUGCAAGUCGAACGAGACCUUCGGGUCUAGUGGCGCACGGGUGCGUAACGCGUGGGAACCUGCACUUAGGUUCGGACUAACUCCCCGAAAGGGGUGCUAAUACCGGAUAAUGUCUUCGGACCAAAGAUUUAUCGCCUUUGGAUGGGCCCGCGUUGGAUUAGCUAGUUGGUAGGGUAAAAGCCUACCAAGGCGACGAUCCAUAGCUGGUCUGAGAGGAUGAUCAGCCACACUGGGACUGAGACACGGCCCAGACUCCUACGGGAGGCAGCAGUGGGUGAUAUUGGACAGUGGGCGAAAGGCUGAUCCAGCAAUGCCGCGUGAGUGAUGAAGGCCUUAGGGUUGUAAAGCUCUUUUACCCGGGAUGAUAAUGACAGUACCGGGAGAAUAAGCUCCGGCUAACUCCGUG
rnacentral:rRNA from 1 species